rnacentral:rRNA from 1 species
UACGUAGGGUGCGAGCGUUAAUCGGAAUUACUGGGCGUAAAGCGUGCGCAGGCGGUUAUGUAAGACAGAUGUGAAAUCCCCGGGCUCAACCUGGGAACUGCAUUUGUGACUGCAUAGCUAGAGUACGGUAGAGGGGGAUGGAAUUCCGCGUGUAGCAGUGAAAUGCGUAGAUAUGCGGAGGAACACCGAUGGCGAAGGCAAUCCCCUGGACCUGUACUGACGCUCAUGCACGAAAGCGUGGGGAGCAAGACGG